AUUGAACGCUGGCGGCAUGCCUAACACAUGCAAGUCGAACGAAGGCUUCGGCCUUAGUGGCGCACGGGUGCGUAACGCGUGGGAACCUGCCCUUGGGUUCGGAAUAACUCAGAGAAAUUUGAGCUAAUACCGGAUGAUGACGUAAGUCCAAAGAUUUAUCGCCCAAGGAUGAGCCCGCGUAAGAUUAGCUAGUUGGUGGGUAAAGGCCGUACCAAGGCGACGAUCUUAGCUGGUCUGAGAGGAUGAUCAGCCACACUGGGACUGAGACACGGCCCAGACUCCUACGGGAGGCAGCAGUGGGGAAUAGUUGGACAA
rnacentral:rRNA from 1 species